AUUUGAGGUCAGCAAAUAAGUUAUAUAUAGUCAAUCAAGACAGUUAGAAAGCAGAACUUCCCUUUUUCUCCAAUGAAUAGAACAGAUUGAGCAAACUAAAUGCAACAACCCAAACCAAUAGAGCUUUAUUAUUGUAAGGUUCCACCAAAAUGUAGAUAAUUAUCACACCAAGGUUAGAACUAACAAAACAGGGUUCCCACUAAUAAAUUUAAGAGGAGCUGACAAACGCCUGCAAGCCUCCAACAUCCAAGCUUUAAUAAGUAAAAA
rnacentral:rRNA from 1 species